rnacentral:rRNA from 1 species
GACAGAGGCCUCGAGCGUUAGGCAGAAUCACUGGGCUUAAAGCGUGUGUAGGCGGGCCCGUAAGUGUCUUGUGAAAUCCCACGGCUCAACCGUGGAACUGCUGGGCAUACUGCGGGUCUUGGGCCAACUAGGGGCAGCCGGAACAAGCGGUGGAGCGGUGAAAUGCGUAGAUAUCGCUUGGAACGCCGAAGGUGAAAACAGGCUGCUGGGGUUGCGCCGACGCUGAGACACGAAAGCCAGGGGAGCAAACGGG